rnacentral:tRNA from 1 species
AGGGCUGUAGUUUGGCUGUAGAACAUCUGCUUGGCAUGCAGAAGAUCCCAGAUUUAAUCCUUGGCAGUCUAG